AAGUGAAAUUCUCUCCACUGUGCCUCCUCCAAAUGAGAAUUUGCCUAGAGGGAGAGUAUUUGCCCUUAAAACACUCAUUAGUAGCACACUGCAUUUGGGGUUCAGUGACUUUCCCUUCCCAGCAUCCCAUCUCAUACACUGAGCCGCAGCCGCCCCGGGCAUUGGGGUCGGGAGAAGCCCUCGGGUGAGCUGUGCUGUGCAGAGGCACGUUGUGUAACACCCGUCUGCUAAGAGCUGAGGCACUGAGUCCUGCCAGACUUCUUGGCUCUGAGCGAGCUCCAAACACUGCAAUAGUGGCUGUUGCUGAACACAAGUGGUCCACAGAACCAUGAACAUCCUGGCUGGUAAGAGCAACAAGAUGUCACAGAAGCACUAAAACUGUCAUUCUACAAAAGCACCUGCAGUGAGGCGCAUACCUGAGAAAGAAACAGCUGAAGUUCCUGCACAUUCCUUGAAGCUGGAAGGUUUCCUGAGGGCAGCCAUGAUUUAGAUUUACAGUUCCGUGUAAAGAGAAUAACCCUGCAACUCAAACACAGAAGGCUUGGAAGAGACAAUGAUUUUUCAGCUGACCUUUUAUUUCAAUAAAUUAUUUUAUUUUGUAUAUCAACACAAGUACUAUGUUAAAAAAGUUAAUGCUAUUGAAAGUGAUUAGCAAGCACAUCUGAGUUAACAUUAUGUAAACAUAAUAAAAGUUGAC